rnacentral:pre_miRNA from 1 species
UGAAAGACACAGGUAGUGAGAUAGUCUAGUAUGUGCAUCUCGCUACUUUGGUCUCUCUCC